rnacentral:misc_RNA from 1 species
GCCUUUCCCGUGCUCUUAGCCAGCCUCUUAGCCACGUAGGCCGUGUCGUUCGCCGCAUUUUUCGCUGUAUUCACGAUCGCUGACUCCGAUACAGUGCGCGUCACUCUAGCAACGAUCCCUUCGUCGCCGCUGCUGUUACCGAUACCAAGUCGUUUCUUUCCCAGAGACGCCAUUUAAAGGGUUUUGGUUCAGUCUAUGAGGACUUU